rnacentral:rRNA from 1 species
CAAACUUGGUGAACUGAAAUAUCUAAGUAGCCAAAGGAAAAGAAAUCAACCGAGAUUCUGUUAGUAGUGACGAGCGAAAGCGGAAAAGGCUAGUGAUUUAAAAAUAAGAAUUAGAAUACUCUGGAAAUGGUAACCAUAGAAGGUGAUAGUCCUGUACAAAUAGAAAGUUUUUAAAUCCUUGAGUAGAGCGGGGCACGUGAAAUCCUGUUUGAAUAUGGGGGGACCAUCCUCCAAGCCUAAAUACUCCUUAACGACCGAUAGUGAACAAGUACCGUGAGGGAAAGGUGAAAAGAACCCCGGGAGGGGAGUGAAAUAGAAUCUGAAAUCAAGUGCUUACAAACAGUUGGAGCUCUAUAUCAAUUUAUUGAUAUUUAGAGUGACAGCGUACCUUUUGCA